CCGGGUCGACUAGAGAACACACGAAGAGAAGUCCGCAACGAGUGGGGCGCUUCGUUUCACUUUCCUGGGUGUUCUCAGGUCGCCCCUG
rnacentral:pre_miRNA from 1 species